rnacentral:tRNA from 2 species
UCAGCAGGUAGAGCAGAGGACUGAAAAUCCUCGUGUCACCAGUUCAA